GCAGAGAGCUGCUGCGGGCCCGCAUCUACAUUUUCUGUUGUGAUGGUUCUUUGGCAGCACUGGAAACUAGGAUUCCUUCUCAUUUUUCCUUUUACAUUUUCUAAGAUAUCAACAUAACCUAGUCACAGGAUCUUCAAAACUUGGUUCAACUCUUUACUCUCUGACAGCUACUUCUACUUCCCAAGCCGCCUUCAUUUUCUGCCUGUGAAACCAUGGCAAGAUCCUAUUUCCUACUACCACAUGCAGACCUGUUAUACCAUUGUCCAUCUAAUACCCAGACUAUUUCAGUAUAACUCCCAGAUCACAUCAUUCUCAUACUUAAAAUUCUCCAUUGGCUCUGCAUUUCUCUUGGCCUCCUUGCCAAGUUCUUGGUGAUUAUCUUGAGUUAGACCUAUCUUCCUCUGGUUUCAUUGUCUAUGGUUCUCUUUGCCUAGGUUUCUAUGCCUACCUUCCAUAAGGGAUGCUAACUGCACUCUUCCUGCAGACCUGUGCUGCUACUUUUGAAAGUGCUUUGCCCAUGGUACCUAUAGUGACUGGCUCCUUUUUCGAUCAUUCACAUCACAGCUCAGAUUUAGCUGGCACGUCAACUUAAUGAAAGUUGGUAGGCAUCCUAUAACUAGGACCCCUCUCUCACCUUCUGCUAAGUAUUUUAAAUUGGAGAUAUUUAUUUUAAUAGGGAAAACUGAAGGAGUCAUGUGAGAAAGUGUCCUUUGGCUAAUAUCUAGUCUUUGCUGAUGAAUUAUUUUCACAGCUUCUUUUAGGAUAGCAGUUGCAAAGGAAACAUAAUUUGUUCUCUGAGAAUUACAGCUUAUAUUUGACCACAAGCACUCAUCUAUUGCUGGCUUUUACUUAAGCUAUUUAAAAGGGGUCAAGCUGUGUACAGCAUAGAUGGAGAAACAAAAGACGAAUGAACUGUGGGCAGCUGCCUGAAGCUUCACAUUGACAUGUUUCCAGCAGAGAGCGCAGGCGACGCGUGCGCUCUGGGACGGGAAGCCAUCAGACUGUGGUACAUAAUUAGACAUGCAUUCUCAAGUUUGCCCCUCUGGUUCAAUAUUUUCAACUUGAACAUGUGUCUGGGGUGAUAGCACACCGUAGGGAGCAUUACAUGAAAAGAUGCUUCUGAGGAGAAGAGCAUGCAAGCUUAUUGAAGAAAAGGAUUCUAGUGGAAACCUCUUUCCCACCAUUUUCCACAGGGUACCAUCUGUUUAUUUCAGGGACCCUCCCCCCCCGAGCAACAUUGAUAGUUCCUUCCUGAACAUGUUGCUGCUGUAGGACAGAGGGACCAUUUAUACAGUUUUGUAGUUCUCUAAUUCUAUGUACUAGAAAAGUAACAUUUAAAACCAAAGCCAAAUACUUAGCAAGACAAGCAGCCAUGAGAGGUCCUGUCCCCACACUCAGUCCCUCCUUUUGGCUCUUAAACUGCAUGUUCAUAGCUCCUCUUUGUACCUGAGCUUCAUUCAAACACCCUAUGGAAGUCACUCUACCACCCAUUUCUACCUUCAAGAUCUAGAGUCCUGCCUUUCUCAUACAUCUCUGCUGUCUAGCAUUUUUAUCUGAUGCUUUUUUUUUUUUUUUUUGUAUUUUCAGUUUCAUUCCCUGGGUUGAUGUGUAAGGAUAUUUAUCGCUAGGAGGGCAUUCCCACUGAAGACUGUGGUACAGGAAUAGGCUCUGCCUAUUUUGGGUGUGCCCUCAAAUGCAGGAGUGGAUCUUGCGGGGGCAUCACUGAUCUCACUGCUGGUCACCACCGGGAAAUGCUUACUUCAUGGAGGCUAUUGUCACAGGGAUGCUAUUUUUUUCUGUUAAACAUACUUUCUGUAGUUUAAAUCUUGGAAGAGUUAACUUUGGAAGAUGGAGCAAUGGCUCAGUGAUUAACAGCAAUUGUUACACUUUCAGAGGACCCAAGUUCAGUUCUUAGCACCGACUAAUCAGGCCUGUAACUUCAACUUUAGGAGUUGACCUGAUAUACUCUUCUGGCCUCCCCUGACACAGGCAGGCAGACACACACACACACACACACACACACACACACACACACACACACACACACAUUAUAAAAUUAAAAACCUUUUAAAAAGAACUUUUUCCUGAGGACAAUAAAACUAGUAACACCAAGAAAUUAGCUUAGAAAUCUGUGUACCUGUUUAUUGUCACAUGAUACCGGAAUCUCUCCUUUUUGACACUUAAAUAAUUGUAUUUCUAUAACUUUUCAUAGUUUUUUUGGGGAUCAUAAAUGGAAAGUCUAAUUAAAGUUGAAGCUAAUACUCAGUUUAUGGGUUUGAUUUAAUAAGUAUGAAAUUAGCUUUAAUAUUCAGAUGGUCUUUUGAGAAAAACACAUUUGUUCAUUAAAUGUGGCGUCCCUAGUUCCCUUCCCUCUGUGGUUGUAUAAGAUCCAAAUGACAGGGUUGAUCCGAGAAGUUAUUAUGUUGUUUUAAAAGUCAUCAAAUGUUUUCACAACUGUAAUCUUAUUUAAAUACAGUCUCUGUUCUCAGAAAACUUACAUUGAAAAAAUAAAACUAUUAAUGCACCUUUCUUGGAGAACUAUUAAAUAGAGAUGUGGAUACAUUUAAAUGGAAUAAGAGAGAAAGGUCAGCAUAAAUGGAAUAAAUCUCAAUGACAUUCAGCCUGUCCACACUUCUGGUUGGCUUUGUAAUAAGUAUAUGAGCCUCCAUAUUAUUGGUAUUUUAUGUCACCUGUUUUCCCUUUGUAAGAAUGGCCAUGGCUAUUCAUGGGCUGUCUGAAUAUGGAACAUGUUGUGCCUACUCACCUUCGACUGCAUGAGUCAUUUAGACAACCAGAGAUAUACACUCACGGAAUGAGAUCACUCCCCCAGACACCAAAUAAUAAUGUCUGCCCUUAGGGACAAGCAGAGGAGCGGCUGCACCUGGACUCCUUGUGUUACACCCUGUGUCUCUUUACCUUUGCAGGCUUGCUUGGUUCUCCUCCAAAGAACCACCUAUAGUGCUUAUAAUCUCUUACAUUUUCUCUAUCAGUUUCUGGACUCCGAGGACGUGUUGCCUCGAGUAGGCACCAUACAUUUCUUAGGGAAGAUUUUGCAGCUGAAAACUAAGAGUUCAUUUAUGAGAUCGGUUUUUAAUAGUUUUCUUUCUCUUGCUCAGCCCUAGCCUGGACUUGUUUAUUAUACUGUGGUCACACAACUCAUAAUGGCUCCAGGGUUAGAAGGACUACAGAGCUCACUUAUGUGAUUCUGAGCAGGAAUUCUGUGUUACAGAACAAGACAUGCUAUGUGUUCAUUAAAAAUCUGAAGAAGCCAGCAUCUUAAGUGAAGAUUUAUUAUAUGUUUUCAAGAUCCUCAUUCCGUGAUCCUAAGGCUGGACACAGGGAGUAGAAUGCUAUGCCUGUGAACUUUGCUUAGCUUAUACCAUGUAGCGUGUUACUCGGAUUUUGGCCACUGUGACACACACUGGAGAUAAUCAGCUUAGAAGGAGAAAGGUUAGUUUUAACUCAGAUGUGGGGUGGGAGGGGUUGUUCCAGUGAGUUGGGUUCAUUGCUCAUUGCUCAAAAGCAAUGAGGCAGGAAACCAUGGCAAGAGCACGUGAUGGUGGGAGCUGCUUGUCUCCUGGUUGCUAGGAGGUGAAAAAAGGCAGAGAAGUUUGGGCAGCAUUGCCUUCAAAGGCACAUUCCCCAUCACUCAACUUCCUCAACCAGGUCCUGCCCCUUACAGAUCUCACUGCUAUCCCACAGAGUUGUUGACUGAGAUCCAAGUAUUCACAUAUGGCUCUAUGGGAGACAUUUCAUUUCAAAAUUAAGUCACAAGUGUUUCUCUUUGUUCUCUCAACAGGAUAUGAUGCCAUAUCAGUUAUUACUGAGUGGGUUCCAUUUCAACAAUAAACAACUCUCAAUCUCUUGUGAGGGACCAAUAUUGGUACCUUAAUAUUCAUGGAAACUAUAGAUUGUAUUAGGUUUAGUCUUUUGUGCUACACAUUCGAUGGGUUUGGCUGGAUAAACGAUGCCAGGUACCCAUCAUGACAACCUUAUGCCGAGUAGUCCCAUGGACCCCAAAGUCCCCUGUGUACUAUUUACUCUUCACUUUCUAUAUUUCACAUGGAAAUUACCAGUUUUUAAUGUCUUCCCAUUUCUAGACGGCAACCCAUCACACAGUAAUUGCUCUUUUCACGUGACAGCAUACAUCCAAGUUCCCCACCUGUGUGUUCAUUCACUUGGUUCUGCAGGGACUCCUGCAGUUGUCUGCAUAUCUCACUUUUUUCAUAAUUCACCCAUCGAAGACUAUUAAGGUUGCUUCCAAUUUUUAAUAACAGAAGUCCCAACUUGUGUGAGUGUAUAUUUUCAACUGUAGGUCAUAUAGUGUAUCAGUUACUUUUUUUGUUGUUGAUGAGAAAAAGCACCCAGACCAAGAGCAGCUUAAGGAAGAAAGGACAUACUUUGGCUUCAGAGGGUCAGAGUUCACAGUGGCAGGGAAGUCAUGGUAGUAAGAAACUGAAGCAUAGAGCUGGGAGAGCACCUUUACCCACAAAUGCAAGAGAGGGAAACUUGGAAGCAGGUCAAGCUAUAAACUCAAAAGUCUCACCCCUACCCUGUGAUCUGCCUCCAUCAACAAGACCACACCUCCUAAUAUCCAAAUACCUGAGCCUAUUAGGGAUACUAUCGUUCAAACCACCACAAAUGGUGAGAGGGAAAUCUCUGAGAACAAAAUAUGAUGUUAAUUUUUUAAACCUAAGCAACAUGGUCAUUCUGUGUUGAUUUGGGGAUAUUGUUCUAUGUUAUUCCAACAGGAAGACUCCAGUUCAUAAAUACCUUUUAGAUUAUUGCAGGGUUAUAAGAUCAGCAAAAGAGAAGGAUGGAGGAAGAAGUCUAUGUGUUUUGCAUCAGCAAUUCAGGACUGUCAUCUGGAAAUGACCCCACUCAUGCUCACUGGUAGCAUGCCCUGUCUCCACAACAGGGAGCCAAGAAGUUCAGCUUUUUAAUUAUCCAGAAGAAAUGGACAAAUGGAUACCAGCCAUUAGCUCUAAUAUGGGAGAUGUAUCUACUGGGUUGCUUUGAGGGCCAAUCCUACCAUUCCACAGCAGCGGCCUUCAUCAAGGGAACAAGCGAGAGCACACGCUGCCAAGGACAUGGGAGGAAGAGCCCUUCGCUCACCCAUGGUGGGAGUGGGAGCUGAUGCAGCUACUGUGGGAAUCAGCGGGCAGCCUCUCAAAAACAAACAGUAGGACUGCUGUAAGACACAACUACCCCACUCCUUGGCAUUUUCUAAGUCAGCAUACUACAGGGAUAUCUGCACAUCCACAUUCAUAGCUGUGGCAUUUACAACGGUUAGGAAAUGGAGCCGGCCUCUGUGCCCAUCAACAGAUGAAUGGAUGCAUAUGUGGAAAUUUUCACAAAGGGGUUUAUUCUGCCAUAAAGAAAACAUAGUCCUGAGAUGGGUGGUGGUGUCACACACCUUUAAUC
rnacentral:sRNA from 1 species